rnacentral:lncRNA from 1 species
ACUUCACUAUAACAUAUUCAUGAUUAUCUGGCGCUGAUUACUUCAAUAAUUUUGAAACAUGCUUGUUGAAAUGAGAGAAAGAAAGAGAAACAAAUGCUAACACCGGCAGCUUGACAAAACAAAGAAGAUCGGCAAUGGUUGCGCCCUAUGGAGAUGUCCCACCGCGCUCCAAGCACACCGAAGCAUCGCAUACCAAGAAACACCUUCAAGAAGGAAGGUGACAGCGACGCUGCUGCCUAGACGAGUCCUAGGGUUUCCCCUAGUACAUGGAGGGUAGUGGGGAGGGGGUAUACCGGAAGCCCUUCAAGAAGGAACGACGGCGCUCACAGGCGACACCACCUUGGUGCCGCACGAGCCUAUAUGGAUUUCUCCCUACCCAAAAAUCCUCACCACCUCGAACGAUCCGAGUGCUCCACUACUCUUGCCGUCCACCAACAUGCUCCACCACGGCCUUGAAUCAAUCUCAUCGCCAAACUGAGGCCAUUGAUAUGGGGCCUAGAGGAAGGAAGAGGGAACAACAGACCCGAGGCCGCAGCAACGCAGCCAAGCGGGAUGGGACUACCUCCACCGUCGAUGCGAAAGCCGACCGGACGCCGCAACUCGGACAAACCGAGCCCCUACUGGCCGCCCGGGCCUAGAUGGGCUCGUGAAGUCCCCUCGCCCAUGCCGCAGCACGUCGGCUACCAACGUCGCCACCGCCCAGAGACCACCGCCGCCCACUUCCACCUCCAAGGAGCCUUGCCACCGUGUAGAGAUUCGGUGGCCCGCCUGAACCCAGAUGGGGCCCAAAUGGCCCGGAUCUGGGCCUAGCAGGCGCCAUUGGCCGAGCUACACCACCACGACGCCACCCCGCAACCAACGGCCGCGCCGCCAUGCCUAAGGCACCCGAGGACCGAGGAACCGCCUCCCCGAGCCAGACCGCCACCGACCAAGCCACACUGCCACCAAAAGGAUCCCCUGGGCCCAUGCCGUGUGCUCGGGGAAAGAGCUGCCCGCCGCCUCCAGCAUCGCGUGGGCAAGGCCCCGAUGGCGGCAGGAGGGGAGGAUGUGGAAGGGGGCUGGAGGAGAAGGGGCUAGGAUUUGCGCGUCACCUGCAAUGGGGCAAGCGACCAAAUAGGGGCGGCUUCGAAAUUUCAAAAUUAAGAUCCCUACUCUCAACGUCUCCUUCUCACGCAAGCCCGAUGUUUGCUUCGUGUAAACAUGACUAUAUGAACAGAUUCAAGAAAUACCUUUGACUUUAGUAGUCGUCUUCCUUAGAACUUCAGUAGCUGAAAAAGUACACAAAUCUGUUUUGUUCCUAAUGAGGUAUCAAACUCAUUCAGCAAAGUAGCUAUGACUAUCAGAAUUUAAAGCCAUGAGGAGCAUGCAAAAUUUAUGCCACAACCUAUGAUUAAUGCAAGCAAUAAAUUGUAUCCAAAUAUAAGGCUAAGAUAACAUGGAUUUUGAAUUUUGUGGUAUGGCCAAUAAUUAGGCCAUAAUAAAUACUCUCUCCUCCCAGAAAUACUUGUCGGAGAAGUAGAUGUACCUAGAUGUAUUUUAGUUCUAGAUACAUCCAUUUUUAUCCACUUAUGCGACAAUAAUUCUGGACAGAGGGAGUAGUCAUUAAGCAUAUUUGUGGAGUGAAUGUUGGCAUAUUGAUAAUAAUAUAUUGUAUUAUUAAAAUGGUAGAAAAAUUGGGUAGUUUAGAUUAUCAAUAAAAAAGAACUACUAACAUCCAUAAUUUGUUGUAGAUCUAAACAAAUACAUGGACAUAGAUUGCUUUUCAGCCAAUACUACAUACAUAGUAGAAAAAAUCAGGAAAACCCUACAAUCUAUCCAUCAAGUGCCAAGGAAGCACAAUAGGAAAGAACACCAGCCAUAACUUGUAUCCAAAUAUAAGGCUCACAUGCAUGCCAUGGAUUUUGACUGUUUUGCAUGGACUAUAUAUAGGACAUAAUUAAUACUCACUAAAAAUAUUUUGGAGUGAAUAUUGGCAUAUUUAUAACAAUAUAUUAUAUCAUUAUAUCAAUAGGAAACCGGUGGUUCAAAUUAUCAAUAUAAAAGAAUAGUUGAGAUCAAUAAUACAUUGUAGAUUGAAAUGAUAUACGCGAGCAGAAAGCGUUCUUCGGGUAAUGCUGCAUACAGAGUAUGUUUUCUUUGUGGGAAAAACUUUUGAUAUAUUCAUCAACAGUCAAGGUAGCACAAAGAACACCAAGAGUCAUAGAAAUUACAUCCAUUCCGGUAGAAUGCUUGGCAAUGAUAUUAAGCACUGCAGUGAGCCAAAGGCGCGCCAUUAUCAUCAACCCUCAGACAGUUGUGAAAAUUGUCAAGUUUGCAAUUUAAUCAUAGCUGCGAGAGCUGAAAUUGCAUUAACAAAUCAAUUUUUCACAAAUUCAUACAAAAACUAUCAAUAAUUACAAAUUUUAUUCAAAUAUGCCCCCAAUUACAAUAUACAACAAAUUGACAGCACCUACAAAAUGUGACGGUUAUGCAUGUCGGCAUGAGCAUGUGGACCCGCAUGUAAGAAGCCACAUUACGCACGUCCGGACCCAAUUGGCAGCAGGCAUGCUAUCAUAUCAUUAGGUCCAUAUGUCAAAAUUGUUGACUGCUCAAACACUAUUGUGGUAACUGUUAGUGACGGUCACCGUCAUGGAAAAAAUUAUGUUUGGUUCCACAUGGAAGGAGCCACGCCAACAUCUACUAGGCCCAUUUGUAGGAAUCUUUGAUCGGUCAAACUGAAAAACUGAUUACUAGUGAGGGAUUAUUGAUGACCCACAAGUAUAGGGGAUCAACCAUAGUCCUUUAGAUAAGUAAGAGUGUCGAACCCAAUGAGGAGCAGGAGGAAAUGACAAGCAGUUUUCAGCAAGGUAUUUUUUGCAGGCACUCACUACAAAAAAAUACACUUCCAUGAUGAUACGUGUUUGUCACAGUAGGUCACAUUUUUUGCCAUACAUGUACAUCCAUGACGAUUUUAUGAUAGAAUCAAGAUAGUCAUACUUGUACUGUCGUAGAAGUGUUCCAUGACAUCACCAAAAUUAUCAUCGAAGAAGUGUCCACUUCCAUGACGAUAAAUCGCGCGUCAUAGAAGUGCUUUUGUCAAGUGUGACCGACACGUGGCAUCCACCGUAACGAGUUGCCGUUAAGCUAUCGGGUUCCGGUUUGGAUCCGAUAACGCGUUAACAGCCCGGACCAAUGGGAAUUUUCCACGUGUAAAAUCAUCAUUGGCUGGAGGAAACACGUGUUUGCUCCUCGGUGGGAUGUCGUCCGUCCAUUGGAGGAGACAUGCCUAUGAUACGUUAACACAUGGCAGGGCCCAACAGAAGCCCAUAUAGGUUAAAAAGGCCAGCCCAGUCGAAGGCCCGUAGUACUUACUCUGGUACUAGUGGGCCAGCCCAAUAACGGCCUAUUUAAACAUGACCCAUUUACGGCCCGAAGCCAGAUCUGGCCCGUUAAUUGUUCGCCAAAUAUUUGGGCCCAAUUACGGCCGAAUGACCGACCUAUUAGAGGUACAAUGUAGACAUGGGCCCAUUUCAGCCCGGUGUGUCUUUCAGCCUGGGAAUGGCAAGGCUGCCCAUGGGCCAUAUAUUGUCCGACACGACAUCUGGCCCACUAACGGCCUGUGAUAAAAGUGGCAACAGUUCAUCCCAACGUGACUUUGGGACUAUUAAAGGCAUGUCGUAUAAUUCGGCCCAUUGAUGCCUGUACAAAUCUUUCAGUUUCUUAAAGGCCCAUGAUAUCAGUGGGCCAACUAAGGCCCGAGAUAUGUUUCGGCCUGGUAACGACCCGUCAUAUAACUGGGCCAAAAAAGGCCCGGUCUACAUUUCAGCCUACUGAAGACCCGUCGACGACUAGUGAAAAUUGAGGCCCAACAUGCAUUUUUGCUUGCUUAAGGCCCAUGGUUUCUUCUGGGUCGUAGCAGGCCAGCAGAAUAUUCAGCCUGUUAAUGACCCAAAGCUACAUGGGCUAAACUAAGCGCUGGGUCCACAAAAGGCCCAACUAAAAUUUGCGCCGAAUAUAGGCCGGAGUAAGUUGUGGGCCUGGCGCAAAGUGUGAAGGCCCCAAUGGCCAUUCGGACCCAAGAAAGUUGCAGGCCGGCCCAAUUGUGGGCCGCUAAAAACCAGGCCCGUUAGAGGCGAAUGUUUUGGCCUGGUCGACUACAUCAGAUUUUUUUUCCAGAUAGCGAAUGAUGGCAGUAACUAGUAGGAAGUAAGAACAAACCUACUCUAUACAAUAAAGAAAUUACGAUAUAGUAACUUUGAAAAAACCUACACUAUACAAUAAAGAAUUUAUGGUAUAUUACAUCCACUGGGCAUCGAAGUUCGCCACCAGUGAUCAUAAAGCGCAACGAAGAAGCAGAUUACAAAAACUGGGCACCAUUGCAGCGUAACAAAAUAUACUGAACCAAGACCACUUCCAAGACAGCUCGAGAAAGGUUAACCUUGCGCGGGAACUGCUGGACAAGCUGCUGAGCAAGGCUGUGAGACCGACCUAGCAUGUCAGUCAUAGCUUCCAAGUGUAGCUGUUUAGCAAUGAGGUUCUCAUUGGUGUUCUCUGCAACCUUUCUUAGAGAUAGGACUUCAAUUCAAAGUUGAGUUGCAGAAUGCCUUUCUGCUAGAACUUUGGACUCAAGAAGUCGAACUGAUUCAGACAGUGAAUUCUGUGCGCUUGUCUGACUACUAGUCUCAAGUAACUUAAACACUGCAUCAAGACAAGACUUUGGGGUUGUCUCGCUAUGUUCAAGAUGUUUUGCCUUCUUUGCUGCAAUAUAUGUUGGGUUUGUCUCAUAGCCUUCAGCAGACUUGUGCAUGCCAUCAGGCAUAUCACCCUGAAACAAGCAGAGAGAUCACAAGUUUUGCACGUGUAUAAACAAAGAUCAUAACUAUGCUGUCAAUUCCAUCAAAUUUCAAAUUACAAAAUAAAGAGUAAGUUCAAAAUAUCAGUAGCAUACUUUGGCAUUGUUCAUAAUGUGGGGAGCUUCACCACACUACUGGAUUACCAUGUCAACAUAACAAGCAUAGAUGAAGGGAAAAUACAAUCCUUGUACCUAUUUUGGUUAAUGUGCAUGGCAUGUUGUUCAUAUCAUCAGCCACAUUAGUAAGAUAAAAUAGGAUAUGACAAGGUGCAAACGUGGGCUGCUUCACCACACACUGGAUUAUAGAUCCACAAAAAAUAAGCAUACAUAUAGGGAGUAUUGAGUAAUGUGCAUGGUAUGAAUAAGGAAUUUGGUUUUACAAGUAAAACUUGCAACUUACGGUUGUUACGAACAUGCAUUUUGAUAGAAACAACAAACUAAACAGUAGUUAACGAUAGGGAGUAUGAGCAAAUUAAACAGCAGUUGAGGAUAAAGGCUUUAGAAGGACUGACUUACAUUAACAGUUAACACUGGCUUUAUAAUUCCGUUCUCCAUGUCAAGGGAAGGAUAACUCAAGAAUUUCAACACAGAAUCUUCUUCAUAAGCAUUGCCUGUACUCUACAUUUUGUAGAGAGUAAUUAUAUAUAUGAUAAUACUGGAAGGGAUAGAGGAUAAUGAAGAUAAGAUGCAGACUGAUGCUACAUAAUCAACUACCAAUCCCUGGAAGUACAAGCGUUACAGGACAAAAUGUACUGGCAAGAGCAAUGGGCUAGACUUCUGCACUGGCAUUGUCUGUGUAUUCAACUUUUUGGUAAGAUUAAAUAUAGAUAUGAUAUUUUUUAGUAAAUGGUGGGUAAGGGAGAUAAGAUGCGGAAUGCUACACAAUGAACCAAUCACUCUUCGCAUAAUACAAGAGUGUUUUGAACACUGGUGUACUAUACAAAAUGUUCUUAUAUUAUGGGACGGAGGAAGUAGCUGUUAAUGUAAGUACAUUGAUAGACGAUGUUUAGUCCUUACAAGAGGAAUGCAGAGCUAAACCUCUUCAAAAGCAUUGGGUUGAUUCUAAAUUUAUGUAAGAGUCCAUAUGGAUCUUAUAAUGUCCACCAAAUGGACGAUAACGAGGCUAACAUGUGCAGUGAUGCUACAUAAUCAAACAACUAUUGAAGUAUGUAUGGUCAUACAGGGCAAGAGGUACUCACAAGAGCAAUGCAGUGUGUAGUAUAGUUGCGAUAUUCUGUGGUCCCUUGAGAAUGAAUGUUCUUCUGCUAACAGUUUUUGUAGAAGUGAGAUGUCCAGGCAAAUGCAGAAAUGUAGUUCAAAUUGUGAUGUGAUAUCAUAGAUAGUACCUUACGUUGCGGACGAGGCCAAUUUGUAACAAGAUUAUUCCAGUCACUGUCAGAUAAAUGUAGCACCGGAGACUUUACAAAUUUUUUGUUUCAAGGCUUGCCAUCGAAGUGCGCUUGCCUCAGGUAGGAACGAUACUUCAUCAACGAGUGCUUGAAAAGCGCAACCAACCCCUGCUCAUCUUGACAAUCCAGUUUGGUCCUCGCCUAUUUAAAAGAAUGAAAUCUUGUGUCUUCUAUCAGCAGAAACAUAUGCAGUAAUUACCAUGAAUAACAUUACUACAUUACUUACGCGUAAGUUGUGGAGGAAGACUAGAAAUUGUUCUAUGUCUGUGGUAUAAUCUUUCCAUGAAGGAAAGAUGCGCACAAAGUUCCUGACAACAAUACAAGCUUCGUCUUCUAUACUGGGAAGAAAUGGAACAGGGGUCCUAUUUGCUGCAAUUGGGGCUCUCUCUGGUUCGAAAAGGGAUUUGGCAACUGGAUUUGGUGUACUCUUUGCUGGAAUGGGGGUUUUGCGUCGUAGAGCUAGUGCUAUGUCAACUGGCAUCAUCAUACUGUUUGCUGCAGUUGGGGUGUGCUGAGUUGGGCAUCAAAAAUGACCAGUGUAGUAGGGCUAGAGUCUGCUAGAGUUGGGGCCGUGUUUUGUGGGUCAGGUGAUAUUGCAACUACACCUAAUGGGCUAUUUUAUUUAUCAGGUGUCACUACCUUUUCAAAUACUUUGCUCGUGCUCCCCCGCGAUCAGCAAUCGCCCUCUUCCUUUCGAACAUCUGAUACACAAGAACAACAUUUGAAUGGGUAAAUAUGGUAUGAUGACUGAUGGAAUAUGUACUAAAAAUGGAUAGGCAGGGCGUAUUCACAUACACGAUGUGUAAACGAAGCUAAUGGCAGUGCAACAAAGUAGAAGCAAUGCAAAGCAUCAGUUCCAAGAUAUGUGUGACCAAUAUAACCUUGGAAAGUUAGAGCAAGCACCUUGAUGGGUGAAUAAGAUAGGGCAUUUGCCUCUGACUCCUCCACUAGGGAGCUACAUUGACUUAGGUCUCCCUCUAGCAUAGAAUCACUGUUAGGAUCAUAUUCCGAGCAUGAAUCUGUAGGUGGAGAGCGUUUGCAUUGCAUUGCAUUGCAUCCAAACUUGAUUUCAGCCCCUUAAUGCCAAAUUUGACACCCAUGGCAUUGUUCUGCUUUAUUCUUUUCAUGGGCGCAAGCUCAUAAUCAUUAUGAUGUUGUUCAGAAUAUGAGAUUCAUGAAAACAUAAAAAGUAGUCAGAUUAUCUAUGGAAUGCAUUGCGGAUUCAACUCGAAGAGUGUCUCCCUAUAAACCCCUACAUAUGCAAAGUUCACCCCCAACCAUGCUGACCAGACCACACACAGAAAUACAAACCUCUUAUGUAUCUAUAAUAGACAGACACACAUUUCAAAACUGAAGUAGGAACAUUAGAAUCAUAUCAAAAUCGUAUUUGAACAAAUAAACUAAGGAAUUAUGAGUGGCAUAAUGUUUAGCUUCAAGGGUGGAGUGUUGGUAGUGCGACACAAAGUAAGUAGGCAAAUUGUAUUCCAUGUAAACGAUCGUAGCCUAUGUAAAAGCUACAAAUGACACCUUAUUUCUAUACAAUGCAGUGUUCGUUGCCCACACAUGAUGGAAGAGAUCACACAGCGAAAUACUAUUCACUCAUGUCUGCGGUUCCAGUAUUUUGAAACAGGGUGGUCCACCCUAAAAGAAUUUUGACAACAAAUAUGACAAGGCAAGCAUAGAUGUAGUGAAUCAAUCAUUUACUUGUGAGCUUACUAGGACAAGUAUGCAUAAUUGUAACUACAGUAAGAGACCGUCCAAAAUUUGAAUCAAGAAGUUUGUCUAGCACUUAUUGUUUGUAACUAAUCGACGUGCAUAAUUUGAUAUCAUAUCGAAUGAGUAAGAAAGACAAGUAAAAUUGUCAACAAACCUGGCCUGCAGUGGUAAUCUGGGUCAAUGUCACUACGGCUAACAAUCCAAAAUGACUAGUGUCUGUUCCUAGGGCCGGAAUUUUGAAACCCUGUGAACUUUACAGGUACUAAAGAUUAUUGAAAUACAUCUGAACCAUUAAGUGUAGGUGAGGGAGUCCUGGACUAAGGGGUCCUCGGGCGUCCGACCUGUUAUCCAUGGGCCAGACUGAUGGGCUAUGAAGACAUGAAGACCGAAGACUGUACCUCUGUCCGGAUUGGACUCUCCUUGGCGUGGAAGGCAAGCUUGGCGAUCGACUAUGAAGAUUCCUUCUUAUGUAACUGACUCUAUGUAAACCUAGACCCCCUGCUGUCUAUAUAAACCGGAGGGGUUAGUCUGGAAAGGAUAUACUCAUUACCAUAGUCAUACAGACUAGGCUUCUAGGGUUUAGCCAUUACGAUCUCAUGGUAGAUCAACUCUUGUAACACUCAUAUUCAUCAAGAUCAAUCAAGUAGGACGUAGGGUAUUACCUCCAUUGAGAGGGCCCGAACCUGGGUAAACAUCGUGUCGCCCGUCUCGUGUUACCAUCGAUCCUAGACGCAGUUCGGGACCCCCUACCCGAGAUCCGCCGAUUUUGACACCGACAUUGGUGCUUUCAUUGAGAGUUCCACUGUGCCAUUGACGAAAGGCUUGAUGGCUCGCCUUGUCCUUAAAUACAACAUCACCUCCGGGGGAGCUCUGGCCCCAGGCCAAACCCUCCAGUUGGGCGGCUUUACUAUGAUCGCCCAUUCGGCUAUUGAGACGACGAUGACCUCUCGGGCCAUCGAAAACCCUCUUCGCAUCAACUCCAAGCACUCCAAGCAGAUGAAUCUGACAGAGUUGUCGUCUUUGAACGAGCUCCUAGAUCGCAUCGCCGCUUUGGGAAUAGCCACAGACUACAAUCGGAUCGGGCCUAAAACCGAUCAAGAAGAAAUCGAGACCCUACCGGUCAUCCACCAGAUUGCGGUAGUCAUGGAGGAGGACGGUGAGUCUUCUUCUAUACUGAAGACGUACUAUGUUCGGAUCGCCGAUCAGGAACAGCCAGAUACCCACCCGCGAAAGGAUGCGACCAGCCCUCCGAACAUUGCACCGGACGGCGGUCCUAAACAAUCAGAAGAUAUUCCAGAACCCGGACUGUUAAGCCCGAAAGGUCGUCAGACUCCGGAUAAUCGGUCAGGUCGGGGUUUGGAUUUAAUUCCACCCACCCACCCGGAUAUAGACUCUCUCAUGAGCAUAAAACAAAAGUCUCAAGAAACGGUCCACCACUUCUGGGCCAGAUUCCUCCUUGUCAAGGACAAGGUAAAAGAUUGCCGUGACGAGGACGCAAUAUCAACGUUCUACAACAAUUGCGCAGAAGAAGGAAUCCUCAAUGCCAUCAAUCACCGCCGCAUACUGAAAUUCGCUAACUUAGCAACCAUCGUACAAAAUUACAGCGCGAUGGAGAGCACCUGGAAAACUCAGGCAGCCUGCUGGGAACCGUCAGUCCCAACUCAACUCCCCCUACAGGCGAAAAGGGCGCACCCUCGCGGCACGCCUAGUCCAACUGUCAAGAAACAUAAAACCGCUAUGUGGCACGACACCGUUCUGGAGGAGAAAGCAUUGCUCGAGCUUUGGAGAGGCUUAAGUACAUGAUGUACACAUGCCCCAAUCAUGAACUCUCAAGGAAAAUUAUCUUACAUAAUAUUUAUGCUCGGAUUUCUCAUAAUGAUCAAACCAUGAUCGAUUCUUAUUCUAUUGGUUACUUUAUGAAGAAAACUAUUGAAUUCAGAUGGGGUCUUCUGGAAAUAAUUAAAGGCAACUCUGAAGAUUGGGAACACGACAAAGGCAAAGAGUCAGGCAUUAUACUUGAGUUUGAUUGUGUUAAAAUUUUCAUGGAUACCGAUGCUUUUCAUAAGUUUAGAACUAAAUAUGGACUAGACUUUGAGAUAAUAGCCUAAUUUUGUGAAUCAUUUUCUAUUUAUGCUGAUCUCCCUAAGGAGAAGUGGUUUAAAUAUCACCCCCUAUUAAAGAAAAGAUUGAGGAACCCAUUAUAGUUAAAAAUGAAACUAUCAUUUACAAUGUUGAUCCAGUUGUGCCUACCACUUAUAUGGAGAAACCACCUUUUCCUGUUAGGAUAAAGGAACAUGCUAAAAUAUCAACUGUGGUUAACAAAAAGUAACAUCAAAGCACCUAGACCCUCUGGAAAAAAUAAGUUGAACCUAAUGUUGCUAUGGUUAAAGAUCUCUUGGUCGAUAAUAUUGAUGGGCAUGUUAUUUACUUUUGUGAUGAAGCAAGGCCGCUAUGCACAUCAUCUGUAGUGUCACACGCCAAAGGUUCACCACCAGUGCGCUCCUGUCUUUGCACUCACUGAUUGGGUUGUGCUCCAUGGACUUGCAGAAGCCCUACACUUGCUUAUUCACAUGUGACAAAAAUUCUCAUUUUGCAUAAUUCAUGCGGGAGACCAUCGGGCACAAGAGGGGCCCAAGGAAUCCUUCACCAAGUAUUGCACUUCUUAUAGCUUAAAAGAAAAGGACUUUUGGAAGUUUGAGUGAGGAUAAUUUUCUUAAAUAUUGGAGAAUCGGCUAAAAAACAUGGAAUUGUCUUCGCCUUUGUAAGCGAAAAUGUCCAGUAAAGCCUAUUCGCUUUUAGCCUUCAUGGUGAAUGGCCCACCCUUUCUUUGAACCUUGUCAAUGAUCGAACGAACUUAUAGAUAUGAACUGAGUGCCAUUUGAUGAGUAAGAUCGAACAAGGGAGAGGGAUAUGGAAAGGAUGAAGUAAUGAAAGAGGAAGUCAUUGCUAGUAGUAACGACUUGUCACGAUCCAUUGAUCCUCCUCAUCAUGCUCCGUGCAUGACUCUACAGGUGCAUGCACAUGGGAGUGCGUGAGGUGGGUGGCGGUUGUGGUUCACUUCCAGCCUUGGCUCCAGAAGAUGAUGAAUGCUCUCAUACUACUUUAUGUUGCUGAAAAACAUUGAUGGUAGAGGUAUCUCAUGAAUGGCAUACUCAUACCAUUAAGUGUUAGAACACACACACACACAAUGUUAUUGUGCGGCAUUCACCUUGCAACUUUUAUGUUUGUUUUUCUCUAUUUAUUGGCAUCUACUUGAUAUGUUCUGUUACAAACUCAAAGAGACAAAGACGGGCGUUGGACUGAGCUUCACAGCAAUGCCAUCCCAAAGCCGCUCAUCCUACUACCCCUACAUUGAUGUCAUGAUUGCCCUAUCUCGUGCCAUCCCACGUAGCAACCAUGAGAGCCUAUGGAAAUAAAUAAACAAGCGACCAAGUCAUGUACAUACACACGCACCAUGGCGCAUUAUUUGCUAGCUGAGGAACCAAGUAAAACUAUAGUUCAUGCGGCGGAAUGAAUGUUGGCUCAGACCGAAGACGGUAUGGUCAGUCGUGGGCCGAUGGGAGCCACAUGCCAUUUCGGCGAAGACCCUCUUUAAGAUAGGCAGCGGCGUGUAGGAGUUCUUCCUUGAGCCUCAUAUUCUCGGUGUAUAGGCGUUGGAACUCUGAAGUAUGCUGUGUUUGUACCAUCACCCCUCUGCAUUUGAGGCAAGUCUUGUUUUGCAUAGCCAACAUGAUGGCUUGACGUUCAGUUUUCAGCUUUUCGUUUUCUACCCAACAAUUUUGAGUCUCCCACCGCUGCAUCUUGCCCUGCAUUUAUUAGUUUCAGGUAUGCAUCAUUUUAAUUAGUGGUUAGCAAAGUAUGAUACCAUGUUCAUGAGGGGAAUACAAUAGUAGAUUGUAAGAUCAAAUGACAAACGAUGCUACAAUGUUCAGUGCAGUUCGUACUAUUUAAGAACAAAGUGUGCAUAUAACUGCAUAUCAUAGCUGACCCAUAUGUAAUUAACUAUGGAAAAGAAUGGUAUAUACAUUGUUGAUGGUUCGUUUAUUUUGGAACCAAAACUUGACCUGCUGGGCACUCGUGCCAAGCCUCUCGCUAAGGUCCUUCCGGAGUUUCUCAUUUGGAUAAGGGCAAUCCCGUAACACACUACAUAUCACGUUAAUGAAAAUGGAUUAGCACACAUCUUUGCUAGGUAAGAAUCAUUGAUUGAGUAUGUAUUGUACGCUUCAAGUUGUUGGAUUUGUUCACUGCGCAGACGAUGAUACUUUGCACGCCUUGCGGCCAUUGUCUUCUCACUAUGGGUCUCUCCAUCGUUGUUGUCGUGGUCUGCAACAACAACGUUGGCAUCAUCAGUGUUGCCCACGAUAGUAGAGGCUCCAAGCAGGUCAUCCAUCUCAUCACUAUAGUUGUGCUGGAAUAGGUGGUUGUGUGUGCUUGUCAUGAAGAGGUUAAAUUCAUUGUUCACACCACUGUUCUCUCCGUCCAUGAUAAUCUGCUAUCAUAAAAAAAGAAUGGUAUUCCCCUAUGUAGAACUGAAGGUUAACUGAAAGUAGCAGUUAAAACCAUACAUAAAAGGAACCGUCAUGUAGAACUCUACAAGUCAAAGUACAUUUAGUUUUUUAUGCCCACAUUAGUCAGACGUAACUUCACUUUAAGAAUACUUGAAUUCAUCCAUAUGAGUUUCCUAGACCGAGAUGUAAUUAAGUAGACUUUAAUUACUAUCUAAAAUAUACAUUAACAUACUUUCCUGACUUCACUAUAACAUAUUCAUGAUUAUCUUGCGCUGAUUACUUCAAUAAUUUCGAAACAUGCUUGUUGAAAUGAGAGAAAGAAAGAGAAACAAAUGCCAACACCGGCAGCUUGACGAAACAAAGAAGACUGACAACUGUUGCACCCUAUGGAGAUGUCCCACCACGCUCCAAGCACACUAAAGCAUCGCAUACCAAGCAACACCUUCAAGAAGGAAGGUGACAGCGAUGCUGCUGCCUAGACGAGUCCUAGGGUUUCCCCUGGUACAUGGAGGGUAGUGGGGAGGGGUAUACCUGAAACCCUUCAAGAAGGAACGACGGUGCUCACAGGCGACACCAUCUCGGUGCUGCACGAGCCUACAUGGAUUUCUCCUGUCCCAAAAAUCCUCACCACCUCAAACGAUCCGAGUGCUCCACUAAUCUUGCCGUCCACCAACAUGCGCCACCACGGACUUGAAUCAACCUCAUCGCCAAACUAAGGCCAUUGAUACGGGGCCUAGAGGAAGGAAGAGGGAGCAACGGACCCGAGGCCGCAGCAACGCAACCAAGCGGGAUGGGACUACCUCCACCGUCGAUGCGAAAGCUGACCGGACGCCGCAACUAGGACAAGCCAAGCCCCUACUGGCCGCUCGGGCCUAGAUGGGCUCGUGAAGUCCCCUCCCCCAUGCCGCAACACGUCGGCUACUAACGUCGCCACAGCCUAGAGACCACAACCGCCCCACUUCGACCUCCAAGGAGCCUUGCCACCAUGCAGAGAUUUGGUGGCCCGCCUGAACCCAGAUGGGGCCCAAAGGGCCCGGAUCUGGGCCUAGCAGGAGCCAUCGGCUGAGCUACAACACCACCAUGCCACCCCGCAACCAACGGCCACGCCGCCAUGCCUAAGGCACCCGAGGACCGGGAACCACCUCCCCGAGCCAGAGCGCCACCGACCGCGCCACACUGCCACCAGAAGGAUCCCCUGGGCCCAUGCCAUGUGCUCGGGGAAAGAGUUGCCCGCCGCCGCCAGCACCACGUGGGCAAGGCCCCGAUGGCGGCAGGAGGGGAGGAUGUGGAAGGGGGCUAUAGGAGAAGGGGCUAGGAUUCGCCCGUCACCUGCAAUGGGGCGAGCGACCGAACAGGGGCGACUUUGAAAUUUCAAAAUUAAGAUCCCUACUCUCAAGGUCUCCUUCUCACGCAAGCCCGACGUUUGCUUCGUAUAAACAUUACUAUAUGAACAGAUUCAAGAAAUACCUUUGACUUCAGUAGUCGUCUUCCUUAG